CUUGAACGCUGGCGGCAGGCCUAACACAUGCAAGUCGAACGAGUGGCGGACGGGUGAGUAAUGUCUGGGAAACUGCCUGCUGGAGGGGGAUAACUACUGGAAACGGUAGCUAAUACCGCAUACCAUCGGAUGAGCCCCGAUGGGAUUAGCUAGUAGGUGGGGUAAAGGCGCACCUAGGCGACGAGCCCUAGCUGGUCUGAGCGGAUGACCAGCAACACUGGAACUGAGACACGGUCCAGACUCCUACGGUGGGCAGCAGUGGGGAAUAUUGCACAAUGGGCGCAAGCCUGAUGCAGCCAUGCCGCGUGUAUGAAGAAGGCCGUCGGGUUGUAAAGUACUUGCAGCGGGGAGGCGUUACCCGCAGAAGAAGCACCGGCUAACUCCGUGCCAGCAGCCGCGGUAAUUC
rnacentral:rRNA from 1 species